GGAAUAUUGCGCAAUGGCCGAAAGGCUGACGCAGCGACGCCGCGUGUGGGAUGCCGCCCUUCGGGGUGUAAACCACGGUUGCCCGGGACGAACGGCGAGUUUCGACUCGAUUGACGGUCCCAGGUGAGGAAGCACCGGCUAACUCCGUGCCCGCCGCCGCGGUAAUACGGAGGGUGCGAGCGUUGUCCGGAAUCACUGGGCGUAAAGGGCGCGUAGGUGGCUUGGUAAGCGUGUGGUGAAAGCCCGGGGCUCAACCCCGGGUCUGCCGUGCGAACUGCCAUGGCUUGAGUACUGUAGAGGCAGGUUGAAUUCCGGGUGUAGCGGUGGAAUGCGUAGAGAUCCGGAAGAAUACCGGUGGCGAAGGCGGCCUGCUGGGCAGUUACUGACACUGAGGCGCGACAGCGUGGGGAGC
rnacentral:rRNA from 1 species